UUUUUUUUUUCCUUUUUAAUUGUUCAUUGGAAUUGAGGUAAGGUAGUGGCAGGGUUUGUACAUGUGAGUACGGGUGCUCACAGAUGUCAGAAAGAAGGUAUCAGAUCCCCAGGAGCUGGAGUUAUAGACAGUUGUAAUCCUCUUGAUGUCAGUGCUGGGAAUCAAAUGCCAGUCUUCUACAAGAGCAUCAAGUACUCUUACUGAAGUGUUUCUCCAGGGGCCCUUACCCUGAAUAUGGUAAUAAGCUCCUAUGUAAUGUAUAGAGUCACCAUUAUGUUUGCAUUACCUUUAACUUUAUGUUGUGUAGUACGUGACUGUAUGUAUGUAUUCAAGGAAAAUUAAGGAUUUUGUCAUUCUAGAAUAUCUAGCAUCCUUGAUUCAGAUUGUGUUGUGAUUUAGCAUCCAAUUCAUAUAAUAUAAACAGACUAGAUUAUAGUUUACCUUUAAGAAAGAGUAUCUCAAGAGAAAUUCAUAUAAAUUUUAUAGUAUUCUUACUAAAGUAUUCAUACAGUUGUUCAUUUUAGUAUCCUUGGUGCUAACAUAGGAACAUAUGUAUAGGUUCAAAGGUCCAAUGUCAUAGCUUGCAUUUUUGUGCAUGGCUUUUGUUAAUGUUUUUAAAGGCACCGGGUUUCAUUCUGUAGCUCUACCUUGACCUUGUACUCACAGAGAUCCCUGUGUUUCUGCCUCCCUAGUGCUGAGAUUAAAGGUGAAUGAAUACAAAGCCCAGCAUCCAUAUUUUUUAAAAGGAGAAACUUGACCUAGAGGGAAUGUGAGUUUUUGGAGAGCUUUUCUGUGGUUUUGUUUGCUGUGUUCAAGUCAAACAACUGGUGUGUGUCAGGAUCUCAGUUUAACAAUUGGUUUCCCACAAAAUUAGAGCGUUAAAUACAUUACAAUAGCGCACAACAGUGUGCUUGUCUUAUAAUUCUGAAGACUGAAUGAAUCUAUUGAUUUGUUUCUCAUUCUUCAGAACACCUGAGGCCAGAAGACAGUUUGCUCUGCAUUUUCCAGUUCAGAAAGACAGAAAUGAUGAUGUUUUCUAGUUUCAUACUUUGAAGCCCGUAAUGACAAUACUUAACCCGUUGCC
rnacentral:lncRNA from 1 species